rnacentral:tRNA from 1 species
GCGCCCAUAGCUCAAUGGAUAGAGCAGCAGCCUUCUAAGCUGUUGAUGUAAGUUCGAUUCUUACUGGGCGUA